rnacentral:rRNA from 1 species
UACGUAGGGUGCGAGCGUUGUCCGGAAUUAUUGGGCGUAAAGAGCUCGUAGGCGGUGUGUCGCGUCGGCCGUGAAAACCUGGGGCUCAACUCUGGGCGUGCGGUCGAUACGGGCAUCACUUGAGUUCGGCAGGGGAGACUGGAAUUCCUGGUGUAGCGGUGAAAUGCGCAGAUAUCAGGAGGGAACACCGGUGGGCGAAGGCGGGUCUCUGGGCCGAUACUGACGCUGGAG